rnacentral:rRNA from 1 species
GACGUAGGGGGCAAGCGUUGUCCGGAAUCAUUGGGCGUAAAGCGCUCGUAGGUGGAUCGGUAAGUCUGCAAAGAAAGACCCGGGCUCAACUCGGGGAACGGUGUGGAUACUACCGAUCUUGGGAGCAAUCAGAGGAUGAUGGAAAUUCCCGGUGUAGCGGUGAAAUGCGCAGAUAUCAGGAGGAACACCGGUGGCGAAGGCGGGUCUCUGGGCCGUAACUGACGCUGAGGAGCGAAAGCGUGGGGAGCGAACAGG